rnacentral:rRNA from 1 species
UACAGAGGGUGCAAGCGUUGUUCGGAAUCAUUGGGCGUAAAGGGCGUGUAGGCGGUUUGUUAAGUCAUGUGUGAAAUCCCUCGGCUCAACCGGGGAACGACGCAUGAAACUGGCAAGCUAGAGUACCAAAGAGGGUGGUGGAAUUCCCGGUGUAGCGGUGAAAUGUGUAGAUAUCGGGAGGAACACCUGUGGCGAAGGCGGUUCUCUGGGCCUGUACUGACGCUGAGGAGCGAAAGCGUGGGGAGCGAACAGG